UUGAAGAGUUUGAUCAUGGCUCAGAUUGAACGCUGGCGGCAGGCCUAACACAUGCAAGUCGAGCGGUAGCACAGAGAGCUUGCUCUCGGGUGACGAGCGGCGGACGGGUGAGUAAUGUCUGGGAAACUGCCUGAUGGAGGGGGAUAACUACUGGAAACGGUAGCUAAUACCGCAUAACGUCGCAAGACCAAAGUGGGGGACCUUCGGGCCUCAUGCCAUCAGAUGUGCCCAGAUGGGAUUAGCUAGUAGGUGGGGUAACGGCUCACCUAGGCGACGAUCCCUAGCUGGUCUGAGAGGAUGACCAGCCACACUGGAACUGAGACACGGUCCAGACUCCUACGGGAGGCAGCAGUGGGGAAUAUUGCACAAUGGGCGCAAGCCUGAUGCAGCCAUGCCGCGUGUGUGAAGAAGGCCUUCGGGUUGUAAAGCACUUUCAGCGGGGAGGAAGGCGAUAAGGUUAAUAACCUUGUCGAUUGACGUUACCCGCAGAAGAAGCACCGGCUAACUCCGUGCCAGCAGCCGCGGUAAUACGGAGGGUGCAAGCGUUAAUCGGAAUUACUGGGCGUAAAGCGCACGCAGGCGGUCUGUCAAGUCGGAUGUGAAAUCCCCGGGCUCAACCUGGGAACUGCAUUCGAAACUGGCAGGCUAGAGUCUUGUAGAGGGGGGUAGAAUUCCAGGUGUAGCGGUGAAAUGCGUAGAGAUCUGGAGGAAUACCGGUGGCGAAGGCGGCCCCCUGGACAAAGACUGACGCUCAGGUGCGAAAGCGUGGGGAGCAAACAGGAUUAGAUACCCUGGUAGUCCACGCUGUAAACGAUGUCGAUUUGGAGGUUGUGCCCUUGAGGCGUGGCUUCCGGAGCUAACGCGUUAAAUCGACCGCCUGGGGAGUACGGCCGCAAGGUUAAAACUCAAAUGAAUUGACGGGGGCCCGCACAAGCGGUGGAGCAUGUGGUUUAAUUCGAUGCAACGCGAAGAACCUUACCUGGUCUUGACAUCCACAGAACUUUCCAGAGAUGGAUUGGUGCCUUCGGGAACUGUGAGACAGGUGCUGCAUGGCUGUCGUCAGCUCGUGUUGUGAAAUGUUGGGUUAAGUCCCGCAACGAGCGCAACCCUUAUCCUUUGUUGCCAGCGGUUAGGCCGGGAACUCAAAGGAGACUGCCAGUGAUAAACUGGAGGAAGGUGGGGAUGACGUCAAGUCAUCAUGGCCCUUACGACCAGGGCUACACACGUGCUACAAUGGCAUAUACAAAGAGAAGCGACCUCGCGAGAGCAAGCGGACCUCAUAAAGUAUGUCGUAGUCCGGAUUGGAGUCUGCAACUCGACUCCAUGAAGUCGGAAUCGCUAGUAAUCGUAGAUCAGAAUGCUACGGUGAAUACGUUCCCGGGCCUUGUACACACCGCCCGUCACACCAUGGGAGUGGGUUGCAAAAGAAGUAGGUAGCUUAACCUUCGGGAGGGCGCUUACCACUUUGUGAUUCAUGACUGGGGUGAAGUCGUAACAAGGUAACCGUAGGGGAACCUGCGGUUGGAUCACCUCCUU
rnacentral:rRNA from 1 species